ACAGGGAUUGCCUCAGUAACGGCGAGUGAAGCGGCAAAAGCUCAAAUUUGAAAUCUGGCUCUUUCAGGGUCCGAGUUGUAAUUUGCAGAAGAUGCUUCGGGUGGGGUGCCGGUCUAAGUUCCUUGGAACAGGACGUCACAGAGGGUGAGAAUCCCGUACGUGACCGGUCGCCUCCGCCCGUGUGAAGCUCUUUCGACGAGUCGAGUUGUUUGGGAAUGCAGCUCUAAAUGGGUGGUAAAUUUCAUCUAAAGCUAAAUACUGGCCAGAGACCGAUAGCGCACAAGUAGAGUGAUCGAAAGAUGAAAAGCACUUUGGAAAGAGAGUUAAACAGUACGUGAAAUUGUUGAAAGGGAAGCGCUUGCAACCAGACUUGCGCCUGGUUGAUCACCCGGGCUUCUGCCCGGUGCACUCGAUCAGGCUCAGGCCAGCAUCGGUUUGGGUGGUCGGAUAAAGGCCUUGGGAAUGUAGCCUCUCUCGGGGGGUGUUAUAGCCCGAGGUGCCAUGCGACCUACCUGGACCGAGGACCGCGCUUCGGCUAGGAUGCUGGCGUAAUGGUUGUAAGCGACCCGUCUUGAAACACGGACCAAGGAGUCUAACACCUCUGCGAGUGUUUGGGUGUCAAACCCACACGCGUAAUGAAAGUGAACGGAGGUGAGAGCCCCUGAGGGCGCAUCAUCGACCGAUCCUGAUGUCUUCGGAUGGAUUUGAGUAAGAGCAGGUGUGUUGGGACCCGAAAGAUGGUGAACUAUACGUGAAUAGGGUGAAGCCAGAGGAAACUCUGGUGGAGGCUCGCAGCGGUUCUGACGUGCAAAUCGAUCGUCAAAUUUGCGUAUAGGGGCGAAAGACUAAUCGAACCAUUAGGCAGCUCUAGGUGGUUGAGAGGCUCUGCAAGAGCUUAGUGCAAGCGACAUCGUCAAAUUGUUCGGGGACCACCCGCGAAGUUGCAGGCUACCGCAGCUGUGUCGAAAGGCCGGCGCGCACCCGGGGUAGCGCCCCGGGGGAUGGUAAUAACGCCUGCAUAGGGUAUAUCCGCAGCGCAGUCCUACGGCCUUGGGGCUACGGGCGACGUUCACAGACUAGACGGCGGUGGGCUCGGGGUGACCCGGGCUUAAGAUAUAGUCGAACCCCCCAGAGAUGGAGG
rnacentral:rRNA from 1 species